UACGAAGGGGGCUAGCGUUGCUCGGAAUUACUGGGCGUAAAGGGAGCGUAGGCGGACAUUUAAGUCAGGGGUGAAAUCCCAGAGCUCAACUCUGGAACUGCCUUUGAUACUGUGUGUCUUGAGUGUGAGAGAGGUAUGUGGAACUCCGAGUGUAGAGGUGAAAUUCGUAGAUAUUCGGAAGAACACCAGUGGCGAAGGCGACAUACUGGCUCAUUACUGACGCUGAGGCUCGAAAGCGUGGGGAGCAAACAGG
rnacentral:rRNA from 1 species